rnacentral:lncRNA from 1 species
UGUGUGUGUGUGUGUGUGUGUGUGUGUGUGUGUGUGUGUGUGUGUGUGUUUUGCCCAGCAGUUAUGGUCAUAGCUCCAUAUAUUUCACAUUCAUGACUCUGCCUACCUAGACUGGCUGAGCCACCUUAAUGUACACUGGAAUCAGACUUUGAGCCCAAGAGACUGAAGGGAAACCUCAAACAGUGGUUGCCAACUGUCCUAAAGGGAAAAAAUCCUUUCAUAUUUCUUCAUGUAAAGGACUUGUUUGCCAUGCAGAGAGAUCCAGUGUCCUGCCCUGAUUAGACAGUCCUUUUAAAUCAAGAGUUUCCAGGAGACAGAGUCACAGACAACAAAUCAGCUGUGUCCUGCCUCAGCUGCCACGCCCUGUACCUUUGCAUUUUCUUCUGAGAGUAAAU